UACGGAGGGGACUAGCGUUGUUCGGAAUUACUGGGCGUAAAGCGCACGUAGGCGGAUUGUUAAGUCAGGGGUGAAAUCCUGGAGCUCAACUCCAGAACUGCCUUUGAUACUGGCGAUCUUGAGUCCGGGAGAGGUGAGUGGAACUGCGAGUGUAGAGGUGAAAUUCGUAGAUAUUCGCAAGAACACCAGUGGCGAAGGCGGAUCUCUGGGCCUGUCCUGACGCUGAGGCGCGAAAGCUAGGGGAGCGAACAGG
rnacentral:rRNA from 1 species